GGGAGAGGAGCUGGAUAACGAGCUGAAACUUUAGUGUUUGCUGGGAAGAAGUUUGUGCACAACUGGAUWUCUCAGGACUCAGUCUCAGCUGAACCAAAACGGAAGGAUGAGAACGCAUCUGUUGAAAUGUUGUCUACCCAGAGCGGCUCCAAGUCUCCACAUCCCACAAAUGAGAAGGACCCUUCACUCUGAGCUGUUCAGGGGCCGUCGAGCCCCUCCUAACAGUCCAGCACCUGCAGAACUAAAUAAAUUAGACUGGAUGCUUCUUUCACGA